rnacentral:piRNA from 1 species
GUACCGUACCUGUGCAGCUGUUU